GACGAACGCUGGCGGCGUGCCUAAUACAUGCAAGUCGAACGAGAGCGACCGGUGCUUGCACUGGUCAAUCUAGUGGCGAACGGGUGAGUAACACGUGGGUAACCUGCCCAUCAGAGGGGGAUAACAUCCGGAAACGGAUGCUAAAACCGCAUAGGUCUUCGAACCGCAUGGUUUGAAGAGGAAAAGAGGCGCAAGCUUCUGCUGAUGGAUGGACCCGCGGUGCAUUAGCUAGUUGGUGAGGUAACGGCUCACCAAGGCCGUGAUGCAUAGCCGACCUGAGAGGGUGAUCGGCCACAUUGGGACUGAGACACGGCCCAAACUCCUACGGGAGGCAGCAGUAGGGAAUCUUCCGCAAUGGACGAAAGUCUGACGGAGCAAAGCUGCGUGAGUGAAGAAGGUUUUAGGAUCGUAAAACUCUGUUGUUAGAGAAGAACAAGUGCUAGAGUAACUGUUAGCGCCUUGACGGUAUCUAACCAGAAAGCCACGGCUAACUACGUG
rnacentral:rRNA from 1 species